GACGGAGACACGCAAAAAUCUACCAAAACGUUCCACCACCUCAGCUUGAAAAUAUUCCUUCUCGCCAUUUGUAACCGUAAAGGUAAGAUAGUAAACAUCGUAUAUGCCGCAGUCAUCUUCAUUAACCUUGAGAAUGUCAUUGACCUCAUAUUUAGUGUCCUACAAAGAAUACAAGGGAGCUUUGUCAGCGUUCUAGAGAAAACAAGCAAAAGGAACAAGUAGAAAGACAAUAGGAAGUGUGACGAGCAUACAAAUUUCUGAUUGUACAGCUUAAGUGCCCGUGCAACAUAAUCCUUCAUCAUUUCAACAUCAUCAGGUUAUUCCAAGAAGUUUGGCCUAGGGAAUACGAAAAUUGUUAGGAUCGAUAGAUUCAACAACGUAAGCCUCAAAAAGAAAAGUAUGGAACAAAUACAAGAUCUUAUUCGGAUGCAACCCAUUACAUGUGCUAUUCGUUCCUACCUGAGUCUUCAUAACCAUAGAUCGAAGUUCUCUGCAGAUACUUCUUUAUUGAGAGGCUUACAAAAGCCAUAAACAAUGUGAGGAUCAGAGGAUGCAAAGGUUUAAGGACAUGCAGGUAGCAUGCUACUCACUUUUUAAAGUAAAUGUAAUCUCAUAGAGAAUAUGGUGAUGCAAGGAUUAGUACUAAUGAGGUGUAGCUUAGUCAACAUCCUCCCAACUUCCUGGAGUGAUGUUAGAAAGUCUAUCAAGGUAUGCACUCCAUAAAAUUUUUGGAGAAUUCAGCACAUAAUUACUAAAUACAGGAACUUGUAUUUCAAGUGAUGUUAAAGUGCUCCUUUUCCCCAAAAUAUAAUUACAGAUUCAUCUCAUUCCAUAACACCAAAAAGCUGAUUGAUAAGAUCGAAUAUACACUAAGGACAGGUAAGGUUUUCAAUGAAAAAGGUAAUUACUGAAAUAGAACACUGUUGAACCCUGACUAACAAAGUGAAACCACAUAAAAUGACAUCAUGAAUCACAAUUUCUAGUGGAGGCAAGUUCCUCAAUACAAGAGGAGUUCAAUUACACCAGAAUUCUACCUCUGAGCAACCAUGCCAAUCGGCGUUAUAACAGUAGCAGUAACAGCAACUGCAGCAGUCUUAGCAGUACAAGUACAUCUUCUAGUGAUAGCGAUUAGAAGACUUCAGGAACUGGUGAUUUUGAAGCAGAUGCUUAUUCUUUGAUGUGUAGACAAUCUGGAUUAUCUUCUUUGGAUCGGUCUCAAAAUGACAAUCUUAAAACGGGCUUUAAGAGGUCACGGACUGGGAUUUCUGAGUCAUUUAGUCAGGGAGGAGCAGUGGUAAAUCCGUUAACAAGUGAUUAUGCCUCAAGGGAAGUUAAUAGUUCGGCAAUAACUGGAGGAAAUGAUCAGACUGGGCUUCAGUGGGGUUGGGAUGAUGACUAUAGAGAUGUAGGGAUGGAUAUUCAGGCACUUCUCCCAGAGUUUGGAGAUUUUGGUGAUUUCUUUGAGAAUGAUGCUUUGCCAUUUGGAGAGCCUCCAGGAACUGCAUGAGUCUCAGACUCUUAUGUUUCCUGCCUCAGAUAGUGUGGAUGUUGGUAGCAGCCCCUGUCCUUCGAUGAUGGACGUGCAAGAUCAGCUUCUUUUGCCAGUAGGUUUUUCGUCCUUUGAGAGCUUUAAUCAACCGCCACCUCCAUCAAUUCUGGAUGAUUCACUGAGCAAGCAUCAGGAGGUUAUUAAAAGUGCUGCAGUUGAUAAUCAAGUAAACAGUACUUCUGCAUCUAUUGCUGGUGAAUUUGAUCACUUAAUUAAAGCUGAAGCUCUCAUGUCCUUCGCUCCAAAGUAUGGAGCAGUUGAAACCCCUACAGGAGAACUCCCAUUUGAUUUUCAGGAAUCCCUAUGUUACGAAGUCCCGGGAAGUGGCGACUGUGAAUUCAAGCUCAAAUAACUAUGUUUACCCAGCGACCCCACCUUUGUAGCCUUGCUUUGAUGCAUGUGAGGAGAAGUCCGGGGUGACUGUAAACCUCAAAGCAGGUACCUUAAGGCAUGAUACAGGCUCCAUUCUUCAAUCAAAGAAACAUUACACUCACAUUGAAAGUGGGAAAGAGAAAAACAAUGAUAAGUUGUCUGGUUAUGUACGUAGUUGCGCCACACGUGAGACUCAAGUAGCACUAUCUCCGUUUUCUGCUUUCAAUUCAACAAAUUCUGUUAAAGGUAUCCACAAUAAAACCGAUAAAGCCAAUGAAGGCUACUAAAAACAGACAGCUCUGGUCAAUCGAUCAAAACUGUGCUAGCAACAGAAGUUGAAUGCCUUAUGUGCCAGACAUUUAUGUGUAAGAUAUGGCAUACACUAUUAUCUUCAAGUGGCUGCCUUUCUGUAGGCAUGAGCAGGUUUUCCAGGAGUUCCAGUAGAAACCAUUCACAAGGUGAAGCAGUGGUCUCUGGCGACAAUUUGUCAAGCAAAUCUGAGAUGAAGAAGAAAGAAAUAAUACCAGUUAGGAUAGCGGGUGAUAUUGAUGGAGGAUUACUGGAUGGGACCCUUAAUGCACCAGUUGGUGUGUAGCGCUCUGUUGGAGUUUCUAAGGGAAUGAAGCAACCAACAGCUGGUUUAGAAUCUUGCCACUCUGUCCAGCAUAAUUCUUUCAUUGAGGAUAGCAUGCUAGUUUAUGGGCUAAGGCAACCACUUCAGGAACUCCUAGAUGGGAUGGCUUUACUUGUGCAGCAAGCCACAUCUCUUGUUGAUGUUGCCCUAGAUGCCGAUAGCAAUGAUGGUUCUUUUGGUUGGCUCUCACUGCAGGAGCAGUGGACGCGUGGUUUUCCAUGUAGAUCAUCCAUGGUUCAUGCAGGUUGUGGGGGAGUAUUGGCUUCCUGUCAUUCGCUGGAUAUUGCUGGUGUGGAGCUUAUUGAUCCACUUUCAGCUGAUGUUCAGGCAUCAUUUACCCUCACUCUGCUGCAGAAUGAUAUAAAAGCAGCUCUGAUAUCUGCUUUCGGUACUAUGGAAGGUCCUUUAUCUGUUAUUGAUUGGUGCAAAGGUCGCCGUCAAUCAAAUGAUGGGGAAUAUCCGGUGACACUUUUUCUGCAGCGUCCACUGAAUGUCGAGAUUCUUCAAUUACCAUAUCGUUGUCUGUUGGAGAACCUAUAAGUUCAUCUGAGUCUUGUGCUGGUGAAUCAUCUAGUUUGAGAGAUGGCAUCAGGGUGGAUGAGGCAAGUGAGCACAGAUUAAGCCAAGAUACUUGCCUAUCAGAAUCGGAGCAUCAACUGGAUUCAAGGCUUAGGCCAACAUUGGCUGCAGUACCGUACCCGGGUAUACUUGUAGGUUUUUUAUACUGAAAUUGGUCCAUCCUUGACCAUUCCUCAUUUUUUGGAUCAGUGAGCAUUUCAGGUUGCGUUUACUCCAUGUUUUUAAGAUAGUAAAUUUCUUUAUUUUUCAUGUGCUGGCCUUAUUUCCCCCUGCUGUGCUAUUAGUUAUCUCUAUAAGAAAGGCAUGCCCUUUUUUUGUUGUGAGAUAACUAGCUAACUUUUUAUGCUGUGAUUUGAGUAUAGCUCUAGCAUUGUCGCCUCGCCUCUUACUAGUUCUACAACUUCUUUCUAAUGGAUUACUUUUAUGGCUUCAACCUUGAUUACUCAAUUAAAUAAAAGCAUGAUGGAGCUGCAUUUGCUUCUCCCAUUCACUUUUUAAUGUAAAGGGCUCACUGAUCAAUACAUAAACAAAUGCAGAGGACUUCCCAGA